AUUCAUUUAGUUUAAAAAAACAUUAAGUUGUGGACUUAAAAAUAUAAAUAUUUAUAUUGAAUA
rnacentral:tRNA from 1 species